GGGGUUGUGGCUCAGUGGUAGAGCGCUCGCCUAGCAUGUGUGAAUUACUGGGUUCAAUCCUCAGCACCA
rnacentral:tRNA from 1 species